rnacentral:tRNA from 1 species
UCCAUGUAGCUUAAACAAAGCAUGACAUUGAAGACGUCAAGAUGGCAGUCACAAACACCCAUGGACA